UACAGAGGGGACAAGCGUUAUUCGGAAUUAUUGGGCGUAAAGGGCGCGUAGGCGGCGAUUCAAGUGACGGGUGAAAUCCCUCGGCUUAACCGAGGAACUGCCUGUCAUACUGGGUUGCUUGAGACCGGGAGAGGCGAGUGGAAUUCCCAGUGUAGCGGUGAAAUGCGCAGAUAUCAGGAGGAACACCGAUGGCGAAGGCAGGUCUCUGGGCAUUAACUGACGCUGAGGAGCGAAAGCAUGGGGAGCGAACAGG
rnacentral:rRNA from 1 species